UACGUAGGUGGCAAGCGUUGUCCGGAUUUACUGGGCGUAAAGAGCGCGCAGGCGGUCGUUCAAGUCGCGUGUGAAAGCCCCCGGCUCAACUGGGGGAGGGUCACGCGAUACUGAUCGACUCGAAGGCAGGAGAGGGAAGUGGAAUCCCGGUGUAGUGGUGAAAUGCGUAGAUAUCGGGAGGAACACCAGUGGCGAAGGCGACUCCUGGCCUGUUCUUGACGCUG
rnacentral:rRNA from 1 species